rnacentral:rRNA from 1 species
CCAAUAGCGUAUAUUAAAGUUGUUGCAGUUAAAAAGCUCGUAGUUGAAUUUCAGGCCUGGCUGGGCGGUCCGCCCUUCGGGUGAGUACUGCCUGUGGUCGGGUCCUACCUUCUGGCGAAGCGUCAUGGCCUUCACCGGCCGUGGCGGGGAACCAGGACUUUUACUGUGAAAAAAUUAGAGUGUUCAAAGCAGGCAAUCGCUUGGAUACAUUAGCAUGGAAUAAUGGAAUAGGACAGUGGUUCUAUUUGUUGGUUUCUAGGACCGUUGUAAUGAUUAAUAGGGAUAGUUGGGGGCAUUAGUAUUCAAUUGUCAGAGGUGAAAUUCUUGGAUUUAUUGAAGACUAACUACUUCGAAAGCAUUUGCCAAGGAUGUUUUCAUUAAUCAAGAACGAAAGUUAGGGGAUCGAAGACGAUCAGAUACCGUCGUAGUCUUAACCAUAAACUAUGCCGACUAGGAAUCGGGCGAUGUUGACAAAAUGACGCGCUCGGCACCUCAUG